GACGAACGCUGGCGGCGUGCUUAACACAUGCAAGUCGAGCGGUAAGGCCCUUUCGGGGGUACACGAGCGGCGAACGGGUGAGUAACACGUGGGUGACCUGCCCUCAGCUCUGGGAUAAGCCUGGGAAACCGGGUCUAAUACCGGAUAUGACUCCAUGACGCAUGUUGUGGGGUGGAAAGCCUUGUGCGGCUGAGGAUGGGCCCGCGGCCUAUCAGCUUGUUGGUGGGGUGAUGGCCUACCAAGGCGACGACGGGUAGCCGGCCUGAGAGGGCGACCGGCC
rnacentral:rRNA from 1 species